AUUAUCUGAAGAGAUAAUUCUUAAUCGAACAAUCGAUGUCUGAUAGAUCUAGACAAAAAAAAAUUCUUGUCGGUAUCGAUGAUUCGUUUCCAAAAUUGUCACAGAUUCCAUAUAAUUCGUUUUUGUUGAUACUUUGUGGAGAUGUAAUUGUUAGAUCAGAAAAGAGGAAGUAUUGUGAAAUUGUGAAUUACAGAGGAAACUUCAGUUGCAGAUUGUUACAGACAUUCUUAUAUGUUUUCAAGAGAAGAGGAACCAAGGAGAUAAGUUUUUAAAUGAUUAUUAUAAAACAUAACAACUUUCCAAAGAUAAUUAACUCAUGAUACAAAGCUCAAUGGCUGCAGGCUAAGUAACAAUUUUGCGAGUCUAUUUGGUUUGGAGAAGUCUGAUUUGAUGUCAGUUUGGAGAAUUUGAGAUCUUUAAAUACAAAGAAUCAGCUUGGACUUGAAUUCAGAAGGAGGAAGGAUAUUUGGUAUUGGUUGAUGGCUUUUUGACAAAUCUUAAUGUUAAAGGUGCAAUACGAAUUCAUGACUACAGGUGGUACAGUUGGAACUAAAGAUCAUAAAUAUCUUUGUACGACAAACACUUCAAAGUGGUUCAUCAAUGCCUCAGCAAAUCUCCCCCACAGAGUACAUGGAAUGGACAAUUUUCACUUGGAUCUUCCAAUUCGUCUUGAAAGGUCGUACGUCAGCAAGGGUGGUGAUACCUUGAUUUGCAGCCAUGGUUACGAAAUAGUAAAAAGAGAAGAAUGCUUUUAUGAAAGCCCAUUAGACGUCUAAGAAGCCCAGCUCAAAUGUCACCAACCCAGUAAUAUUCAGCUCAAAUGAUAAUCGGAUCAUCCAAAUAAGCUAAUAUAGAUCCGCGUGUCUCAAUUGUUUGUAAUAUUGGUAGAUCCGGGUGAAGAUCCAAGAUCCGCGUUUUUUUUAAAUGUAAAGUCUUUUUUUUACCCUUCAACGUGAGAAUUUGUUAUUUCUUUGUAUCCAAAUUUUGCAAUGGCAAUCUUUGUAAAUAUUCUACCAAAAUAAGGUUAUUUAAAUUUGAGUGAUUCUCAAUUAA